UACGGGGGGGGCAAGCGUUGUUCGGAAUUACUGGGCGUAAAGCGCACGUAGGUGGCGACGUAAGUCGGGUGUGAAAGCCCCGGGCUCAACCUGGGAAUUGCAUUCGAGACUGCAUUGCUGGAGUACGGAAGAGGAAGGCGGAAUUCCCGGUGUAGCGGUGAAAUGCGUAGAUAUCGGGAGGAACAUCAGUGGCGAAGGCGGCCUUCUGGUCCAGUACUGGCACUCAAGUGCGAAAGCGUGGGGAGCAAACAGG
rnacentral:rRNA from 1 species